GAUGAAGAACGUAGCGAAAUGCGAUACUUGGUGUGAAUUGCAGAAUCCCGUGAACCAUCGAGUCUUUGAACGCAAGUUGCGCCCGAAGCCAUUAGGUCGAGGGCACGUCUGCCUGGGCGUCACGCAUCGCGUCGCCCCCCACAAUUCUCCGUAAAGGGAACAUGUGUUUUGGGGGCGGAUAUUGGUCUCCCGUGCUCAUGGCGUGGUUGGCCGAAAUAGGAGUCCUUUCGAUGGACGCACGAACUAGUGGUGGUCGUAAAAACCCUCGUCUUUUGUUUCGUGCUGUUGCUCGCAAGGUAAACUCUUUAAAAACCCCAAUGUGUCGUCUCUUGACGACGCUUCGACCGCGACCCCAGGUCAGGCGGGACUACCCGCUGAGUUUAAGCAUAUCAAUAAGCGGAGGA
rnacentral:misc_RNA from 1 species